UGCGUAGGCGGUCCCACAAGUCCGUUGUGAAAGCCCCGGGCUUAACCUGGGAAUGGCAGUGGAAACUAGGGGACUUGAAUCUGGCAGAGGGGGGUGGAAUGCCACGUGUAGCAGUGAAAUGCGUAGAGAUGUGGCGGAACACCGAUGGCGAAGGCAGCCCCCUGGGCUGAGAUUGACGCUCAGGCACGAAAGCGUGGGGAGCAAACAGGAUUAGAUACCCUGGUAGUCCACGCCCUAAACGAUGAUCACUAGGUGUUGGGGAAGCGAUUUCUCAGUACCGCAGCUAACGCGUGAAGUGAUCCGCCUGGGGAGUACGGUCGCAAGAUUAAA
rnacentral:rRNA from 1 species